UCAAUAUCCUAUCAAAAAUCAUAAUAGGCUUGUUGUGAUAUCCAUAAGGCUUGCUACAGGGAUUGAUGUGGGUUUAUCUUGGUACAUAUUAGAUGCCUUAUGGCAUAUUUUAGAUAUGUUGCUUUGUUGUGAUAUCCACAAGGACAAUACUUUUCAGAUAUGAUAGUAUGAAAAUGAAGGGUCUGACUUAACUAAAAAUACUGUAGUUUGUUGUGAUAUCCAUAAGGCAAUGAG
rnacentral:lncRNA from 1 species